ensembl:lncRNA
UCUGUAAAAUGAUUUUUCUGCUUCAUAAAAGGUGUUUUUUUGUGUACUGACAAGCGUCUCCGAUAUUUUUCCACCAUCAUGUGUGUUAAUAUGGUGGACAGAAUAUUCAGAAAUGUGUUUGCAGUAAAGAGUUUAUGACUAUUUUUUAACAAAAAAAUAAGAAACAACUCUCAGCAGUUACUGAGGGUUAGUGUUCAGAGAGAGAUCUCAGGUAAGGCAUGAGAUCUCUCACAAUGUAAAUGCCACCUCAUAACGUCAUAAUUACCACAGUAAUGAGGUGGCAAUUACAUGCAUGUUUCAUCAUUGUGUUUCACUGAACCAUAAAGAGACUUACUGACAAUAAAAAAAACCAGACAAAAUUAAAAACGAUCACAAAAUGUAAAAAAGUAACAGAAAAAUGUCCUUAAAUAGACACAAUGACAAACACGUAAGCUACCAUGAGAGAAAUAAUAUCCUUAGUUAUUUGACAGAAAAAGGCACAAAGACAAAAGAAAAUGACCACAAAAAGACACAAUGACUAUAAAAUGACCAGAAAGUAGCAAAAACAAUACAAAAAGACGCUUUAAAAAUUCCAGAAACAAAUCAAAAAAAUUGGCCAUAAAGGGCAAAGAAAAAUGCAACGACAAAAACAACACUUCUACCAGGAGUCACAAAAUGAUGGUAACCAAAAACAAAGAGAAAAUUACUCCUUUCACAACAUGAGAUGAAAAAGUUCAGAGAAACCAGAAAGACACGAGGAAAGGACCGUAACAAAACAAUCCUGAGACAAAGUGACAUGAAUACAAAGACGCACAAAAAUGAGACAGACUAUCUUGCAGAGACAACACUACAGUGAGGGGGGAGGGGCUUUUACAUGUGUGAGACCAGGUGAGCUGACUUCACCUAUUCAGUCAGGUCACGUGAUCUUCCUCAGGGCUGGACAAAACAGCAGGUCGUCCACCACAAGGCAAACGUUUUUACCUCAGUAUGAUGGCAUGUGUGACCAACCACACUGUACACACAUGCACGCACACACACACACACACACUUGUCUUUGCCUUCGUCUUGUGGCUCAAUCGCCGUUACAGCCGGUAAAUCCUCCCAGAGCACAAAACAGUGUCACUUCCAGCUCAGUGGAGGAUUAAAGGCCGACAGCCCUGGGAACGACGCUGCGGGCC